rnacentral:rRNA from 1 species
GAUGAACGCUAGCUACAGGCUUAACACAUGCAAGUCGAGGGGAAACGCCAUCGAAAGCUUGUUUUUGAUGGGCGUCGACCGGCGCACGGGUGAGUAACGCGUAUCCAACCUGCCCAUCACUUGGGAAUAACCUUGCGAAAGUAAGACUAAUACCCAAUGAUAUCCCACGAAGGCAUCGGAAUGGGAUUAAAGAUUUAUCGGUGAUGGAUGGGGAUGCGUCUGAUUAGCUUGUUGGCGGGGUAACGGCCCACCAAGGCAACGAUCAGUAGGGGUUCUGAGAGGAAGGUCCCCCACAUUGGAACUGAGACACGGUCCAAACUCCUACGGGAGGCAGCAGUGAGGAAGAUUGGUCAAUGGGCGAGAGCCUGAACCAGCCAAGUAGCGUGCAGGAAGACGGCCCUAUGGGUUGUAAACUGCUUUUAUAAGGGAAUAAAGUGGGUCACGUGUGACUUUUUGCAUGUACCUUAUGAAUAAGGACCGGCUAAUUCCGUG